UCAGAGCCCGGAUAGAAGUGAAAAGCUUUAUGCAGCAGCAGGUUAGUUUUUUGUUGUUGUAAAAGAGCGACCGUAGGAAGCUCCUUUUAGGGCUUACAAAAACAACCUGAUGCCAAUAAACUUGUAACGAAUAGCUGGAAGCAGC
rfam:Flavobacterium fryxellicola strain DSM 16209 FBFR06, whole genome shotgun sequence.